GAGAGCACUGCAUGGUACAUAGGGGAGUAACUGUGUUUGGAGGAAGGCAAAGGGGACUGUUUUGUUUGGACUUUUGUUAUUCUAGAAGGGAUGGCUCUUAAUAGUUUGGCCAGAAGCCUGAACUAAACAAACAACAGAGUAGGAAAGACUGCCUACCUACAGGGAUGGAAACUGAGACAGUAUCUGCAACCAAUGCCAGAGAGGGGACACAAGGCCUGAAGAAGUGAAAUGAUUUCCCUUACAUUUACACAACGAGCCAGUGGCAGAUCCAGUGUACAACCCAGACAUCCUGAGUCAGUCUUCUAUUUGAAGCACUAAGGCCACUCUGAUUCUUGGUAUUUGGUAGGAAACAGUUUCAGAGAUGAUGCAACUUGAUGUGGAAAGGGCAAGCCAAGCAUCUAUCAAACUGGAGACAACUGGAAAUCUAAAAAAGCUGUGAGCUGCCUCAUCAAUGAAAGUGUAUCAAUCACUUUGAACAGGGAAAAGAAUUUCAGUUGUUUAUAAUGAGGGAACAAGUGGGGACUCUCAGUUCCUGAAGAUAACUAUGCCGCUUCUCCCUUGUGGAUAGAAACUAACAGGUGAACACCAAAGUAUCCAGGAGGACCCUUUCCUCUGAAGGGCCACAGAUUGCAGACCAGGGAUUGUGCUGGUAUUGAAGGACACCAAGAUAUAUCAACUCAUUUUUACAACAAUUGCAAGUGUCUACUGCAUUCCUGGGAGGCAGCACUUUUAAGCUGACUUGUUUUUAAAAGAAGUGAGUUGGGACCCAGUCCUGCAGAUUCUCCUGAAGAUCACAGAAAAGAGUAAGCCUUUCACCACUACAACAUCUCUCAGCUCAUCAGAAGAAACAGCAGCUCCUGCAUGUGACCAGACUGCACAUGUGCCCUCUCCCAAAGCAACUGAGCAUACUCCAUCCUGGGGCUGCAAAGACUGAGCAAGAUUUGCCCUGCAAUUGCUGCUCCAGGCCACAGUGGCAUCAGGCACAGGAACAGAGACCAAGGAGAUCGUGUCUCUUGUCCUUUCAAGAUCCCUCUGCUGGCACCCAAAGAAGGAAAAAGCUGCCUGACUUAGAAUGAAGAGAGGUGAGGGCUGAGAAGAUAGGUGCAACUAAUGAGGCAGGAGUACCUCAGUGUUGUAUCAAGCAGGCAAGAUACUAACAAGCUUCAACAGAACUUUAUUUACAGUGGAAACCCCUUUACCAAGCUGCUGCUGCACCCUCUGUAACUCCCACUCAACCUCCUCAACUCCUCCCCUUCCUUCCUGUUCCCUGUCCUUUCAGACUCCCAACAGCCAGUGGCCCCAGAUCUAAUAAUUACAAGCACAUCUAAAUACCACACUCAGACAGCAGCUUCUUUCACUAUAUAGCCUGAUUCAUCCUCAGAGCAUCGCCCAUAAUAUGCACUGAAUUAGGCACAGUCCUAUAGAAAAAAGUGUGAUCAUGUAAUUAAAGACUAUCAUAAAUACAAGACACCAAAUUAAGAUUGCAUGAGCAACCUUAAUUCAGGUUUUUAACUUUGAAUGCUUGACUUUGCUACUUUAAUGGUCUUCUAAAGUAUUUGUUUUACACAUAUGCUUAACUUUAGACAGUA